GGGGAUCGAAAGACCUCGUGCUUUGAGNGUGGCCGAUGUCUGAUUAGCUAGUUGGUAGGGUAAAGGCCUACCAAGGCGACGAUCAGUAGCUGGUCUGAGAGGACGAUCAGCCACACUGGGACUGAGACACGGCCCAGACUCCUACGGGAGGCAGCAGUGGGGAAUUUUGGACAAUGGGCGAAAGCCUGAUCCAGCCAUGCCGCGUGAGUGAAGAAGGCCUUCGGGUUGUAAAGCUCUUUCGGUCGGAAAGAAAUAUCUAUAAAAAAUAUUUAUAGAGGAUGACGGUACCGACAUAAGAAGCACCGGCUAACUACGUGCCAGCAGCCGCGGUAAUACGUAGGGUGCAAGCGUUAAUCGGAAUUAUUGGGCGUAAAGGGUGCGCAGGCGGUGUUGUAAGUCAGAUGUGAAAUCCCCGGGCUUAACCUGGGAAUUGCGUUUGAAACU
rnacentral:rRNA from 1 species